AGAGUUUGAUCCUGGCUCAGGACGAACGCUGGCGGCGUGCUUAACACAUGCAAGUCGAACGGAGCACCCCUGAAUGAGGUUUCGGCCAAAGGAAGGGAAUGCUUAGUGGCGGACUGGUGAGUAACGCGUGAGGAACCUGCCUUUCAGAGGGGGACAACAGUUGGAAACGACUGCUAAUACCGCAUGACACAUGAAUGGGGCAUCCCAUUGAUGUCAAAGAUUUAUCGCUGAAAGAUGGCCUCGCCG
rnacentral:rRNA from 1 species